AAGACUAUCAGAACGGAGUCCAAAACUACGACCUGCAGGAUGCCGUCACUUUCAUCGGCUCCAACACCUUCUACAUCGGCACGGUGAAGCCUACAGAGAACUCUGUGUGUGUGGGAGCCCUGCUCUUCUUAUACACCGGUGAUUUCUAUCUGAACAUCAAGUUCCAAGAUGACAGCACGGCCCGCGACCUGCCGCCCACCUGGUUCUGUCUGCCCAGCGUCCACGUCAAAGCCCAGGAGCCAGUCGAACUCUGACCUUUGACCUGACGGACUCAAUAGGCUUUUGUAAGGGACCUGGGGGAGUUCUGCUGUUUUUUAGAUGACUACUGAGCUGAUCUGGAUAUUUACUGAGUCUAGAGCGAGUGCAGUUCUAGUGUAUGAUGCAUUUCGAGUUUGAAGAUUCAAUUUAUGCCAAAUCCUCCACUUUACGCUCCGUUCUGAAGCCCUCAUUCUCCUCUUUAGAGACAGACUAAAGGAUGAAGAACAUUUUUCAGGUAACCACUAAGUGAAAACAUCUAAGGAGGUCUUACAAUUUCGUUUUAAGUGAUCGUGACUGUGAAGAAAUGCAAAAUGUGCUGGACUGCACAACAACGUCAUGCUUCUAAUGCAUGAAACAUCUCCAGCUCAUAUUUCAUCCCCCCCCA